rnacentral:rRNA from 1 species
GUAGUCCCGACCUUAAACGGUGCACACUCGGGGUGGGGCCAUUUCACCGGCCCCGUCCCUUAGCUAACGCGUUAAGUGUGCCGCCUGGGGAGUACGGCCGCAAGGCUAAAACUCAAAGAAAUUGACGGGGGCCCGCACAAGCAGAGGAGCAUGUGGCUUAAUUCGAUGCAACGCGAAGAACCUUACCUGGGCUUGACAUCCAGCUGCACGCCCCGUGAAAGCGGGGCUCCUUCGAGGGUGCUGGACAGGUGCUGCAUGGCUGUCGUCAGUUCGUGCCGUGAGGUGUUUGGUUAAGUCCACCAACGAACGCAACCCCUUAUCCGUGUUGCCAACGGGUCGUGCCGGGAACUCGCGGAUGACUGCUGGUUCACGCCAGA